GACAGUGUGGUGUAGUGGUUUGAGCAUUGGACUGGGACUCUGGGAGGCCAGGGUUCGAUUCCAACUCUGCUCAGCCA